GGUUUGUGGCUCAGUGACAGAGUGCUUGCCUAGCACGUGUGAGGCCCUGGGUUUGAUCCUCAGCACCA
rnacentral:tRNA from 1 species